rnacentral:misc_RNA from 1 species
CAAGUGUUGCAUUUGCUCGGCUUUGUACCUGGUUUCGCUCCAGACCCAUCACAGGUAGCACAAGCCUCGAGACGAGUAAUCUCAAUCUCCUUUUCCACACCGAAAACCGCCUCUUUGAAAUUGAGGAGGAGAUUGUAGCUCUCGUCGUCCCCCUGCAUAGGACGAUUUCGAGCAGCUCUGCUGUUUCCUCCCAUUCCACCCAUUCCGCCCAUGCCUUCGAAUAUUGACUCAAAGAUAUCAAAAGGGUUGUUGAAAUCCCCCAUGCCCAUACCAG